CUCCUGGUAGCCGCGGAGAGAUAGGCGAGACGGGUUUACAUAUUCAAAGGAGAUGGAAAUGACAAGAAACACGUGGACACGAGGAUCCGUUUCAUUUCGGCAGCUGGGCGUGCUGGUAUUCAUGACUCAGAGGAAGCCGGUUUGCCUGAGGAGGUGGGAUUAGUUGGAGUACUCUGUCGGAGGCCAGACGAGAGUCUUGAGCUGGAGCCAAUGAGUCACCACCGCAAACGGAAUCACGUGCACCCGGGAGAGACCCACUCCAAAAGCACAACCAGCCUCCUCUUCUCAUUUCAGUCAUGCAACAAUGAGGACGAACAGGACAUACUUUGAAAACAUUUUGGAUGCCUUCAGCUUAAACCCGUCAGCUAAAACCUGUCAGAUGUUUUUGAAAAAGCCCAAUAAUGUAAUUAGAAAGCACAAUGCAGCGUCUCUAACUACAGCUGUAAAAUCUGUUAAAUCUCAAUUUUGUUAUUUUUUUAUCCUAAAUACUGCUGAUUUUGAAUUAGACUAGAGCAUCAGCACUUGUAGAUUUAGAGGGUUUAGGCUUUUACGACAUUCCUUUUUUAGGCUUUUACGAAAUUUACGUGGCUUUUACGACAUUCUGCUGUUGAGGAUGUAGUCCAAACACAUCCCAGUAAAGCAAGCAAAGUUUAUUGAUAUAGCCCAUUUACCAGAUACAAAUCUCAGCAUUCUGCGUACACUGAAAUAAUCUUAAACAGAAUUUUAAAAAAAAGUAAACAAAUUAAGCAUAAAAAGUGUAAAACAGAAAAAGUAAAGAUGAAAAAAGUACUAUGUUUAGGAGAAAGUCAGACUAACGUCUUAACAUCAGAGUUACUUUGGAAUUUUGGUUGAUAUCUAAAGGUAUCAUCACAGAAAUAGAACCAGUUGAUUUUAAGAUUUAGAUGCUGCUGAUUCAAUGGAAUAGCCCGUGUCUUAAAGUGGAUGCAGGGCAUCACCAGCAACCUCCAGCUUGAGCACCUCAAAUUACAAGUGGGAGCACGAAACUGAACCCAACCAGAAAUGGAAGGAGCGUGCAAAGCUCUAAAAGGGAGAGUUUCAAAACCUAUUCUAAAAUUAAUUGGUGUUGAAAAUCUAAAACAAGUCAGUAACAAGUUCUCACAUGGAUGCUAUAGAUGCCCUGCAGCAGUUCUGGACAUCUGAAGGCAAGCAAAGACUUUUCUAUUGGAACACGUAACAAGAUGAAGCUUUGACAUACUCCUAAAGUGUGUGUGGGGGGGGGCACUUUUAAUGAUUGUUAGUGGUGGUGCUUUAGGGCAAUUCUGGAUCAAAAAAACACAACCCCUGCAUUUGUGAGGAGCGCUCAGUAGAACCAAAGAUGCUAAGAAACUUUUAUAUCAGGGUUAAGGCUGAGUGUAGCAAGGAUGAGUGUUUGCCUCCUGUCUGAGUCUCAGUUUAGGGAAUCUGUACUUACCACUUUUUGAUGGCAAGCAAGCUCUUCAUUAAAGAAAGUUCUUUAACAAAGCAGCUGGAUAUGAUCUGAAUAAGGGUCUAAAGACACAUUGUCAAGCUGAAUAUCUUCACCAAAGGACAUGUGGACUAAGUUGUUGGUUCUCCUCUGUAAUAAAAGAAAAGCAAUCAAAACAGAUGCGGAUAAAAUAAUAAAUCAAUAAAAAAUAUGACAAUAUUACCUUAAGAUUUGGUCUUAUGACCUUUAUGGACAAUGACUGGAACCGCUACAACCAAUUACGCUUCUGCAUCAGUCAACAGGUGUUCUGACCCACUCCUCUUCAGCAGACCACUCCAUCGUUAUUUAUUUGACAGCAUGCUUCAGCUCCUACAGAUGUUCAGUUAGCUCAGGGUUCAAAUGUCAUUUCAGAGUGGUCCAGUGUUUUGCUUUGAGCUUUUCUUGGGUGUUUUCAGCUGCUUGGAUCAUUAUCCUGUUGUAAGACUUGUGACUAGCGACAGACACAACGCUUUCUGAUGCUAGGCAGAACAUUUUACCUAAGAAUGCCUUAAUGGUCUUCAGAUUUUAUUUAGCUAAGAUUCACAUCAUGUUCCAGAUGCAGCAAGGCAGCCCAGACCACAUUUGACCCUCCUCAAUGUUUCACAGUAGGGUUAGGAUUUUUUUGUUUUGUUUCACCACCUGGUUUGUCUCAUGUGUCCGAAGGACAUUAUCAUGAUGCGUUGUGGCUCGUUUUAAAGUAUUGAGGAAAACUCCAGUCUUGCUUUGUGAUGAUUUGCUUUCAACAGAGGUGUCUUCCUGGGUCGUUUCCCAGAAAGUCCACAGAAUCUUCUGGUGAUAUGAUCUGACACUGAUACACUUUGAUCUAAGUGUUCACAUUUAAACUCUCUGUUGGUUGUUCUGA